CAGAGGGCGGAUCUGUGGAAAUUCUUUGAAGACUGUGAAGCUCUGUGGAAGUGGCUCACAAAGUUGCUUAUGUUCAAGGUGGAGCAUGCCAUAGUCAAGUCAUGAGCUUUGGGAAGUGGAGGAUACAUUGGAAGCAUCAUUCAGGAACUCACUCGUUCUUAUUUUGCAGUUAUAGUUUGUUAGACACAUACAGCCUUUUUUCCAGAAGUGCUGUCCCAGGACUAGGACAGACCCUGGCGAGUUGUAACUCGGCUGAACAGCAGCCACACUCAGUGCUGUGGGCUUGUCAGCCAUGGUCCUUCUGACCCUACUGUUUGGAACUAUAAUUCGUGUGUCCUUCCUUACUAGGAAGUUAUUGAACUUCUGAUCCCAUUUAUCAUUUCCUUAAACUGUUUGCCCAUGUAUAGUAAGAGUAUGCUUGGUAAGCUGACUGCAGUCCUAGCAUUGACCUUAGCCAUGAUUAGCUCUAGCAAGGCAAGGCUGGCAGGUUUGAUUUCCAUGCCUCAGGCUCAGGCAGGAUCCACAUCCCCAGGUGCCCUCUUCCAACAGAAGCUAUCUGCUAGUGGGCCUCCUGCCUUUCUAGCCUGCUUUCCCCGACUGAAGUUGCAGGCAAAGGCUGUGAUUGGAGACAGCCAUGGAGACAGCCGCGGGCAGCCCUGCUUUACCCUGCACGGUGUGAAUUGUGGCUCCCAUUUGUCUUGGUCCCGCCAGGGUUUGGAUUUCUGCUUUGAGAGUGUGUUCUGGAGAGAAAGGAAGUGAAUGCUAGACCUCAUCUUUCUCCCCAAAUCGGCUUCUAUUACCAGAAAGCCGAAGCCUCCUGCAGGUCUUGGGGGGAAAAUAACAGGAAGAGCUAUGGUCUCAAAGGCAUCAGCCAAAGAGAAGGAAAGGAACUGGUCACUGGCCUUCUGCACACCACGGGGUGCUGGCUUGAUGAACCCUUUGCACACCUGACAUCAGUGCUCACUGUACGCUUCUCAUCCUGCUCAGUAGACAUCCCAGAUUUGUGGGUGAGAAGUAGGGGCUCAGAGAAAUAUGUGAGCUGCAGAUGUGGCAUUGACCCCAAUUCUUUCUGAAUUCAAAACUAGCUCUUUAAGACAAUUCAGCAAGGAUUAAUUCUAUUUGGGAGUGCCUGCCAUCAAAAGCCCCUCCCUGUGCCUAUCAAGGAGAUAACAUAAGCCCUGCAUGCUUGGUGUGGAUCAACUGCCCCUGUUUCUGAUGUCUGACUCAGUGUGGCCUCCUAGCCAUGAUGCUUCAGUUGGGUGGAGUACUAGUUUCCUAAAGCUGCCGUAACAAAUCUCCACAAACUGGGUGGCUGAAAACAAUAGAAAUCCAUUCUCUCAAAGUUCAGGAGGCCUAAAGUCCAAAAUCAAGGUGUGGGCAGGGCCUUGCUCCCUCCAACGCUGCUGUGGAAGAACCUUCAUGCCUCUUCCUGGCUUCUGGUGGCCCCAGCAAUCCUUGGCUUUACGUGGCUUGUGGCUGCAUCACUCCAAUCUCGGCCUCUGUCUUUGCGUGGACUUCUCCCCUGCAUAUCCCUGUGUGCUGUUUCUAUAAGGACAUCACAGUCAUUGGGUUUAGGGUUCCCUCUCAACCCAGGAUGAUUUCAUCUCAAGAUCCUUAACUAAUUACAUAUGCAAAGACCCUAUUUCCAAAUAAGGUUCCCUUCUGAAGUUUCAGGUAGGUGUGAAUCUUCUGGGACACUGUCCCAUCCGGUACAGGUGGGCAGGAUUGUUCCUCCUCAUUCCACCCCAUCAGCACGUGCUACCCCAUCAGCAUGUGCCACUUGCACGUGCCAUGUGCAAGAGCAUUUGAGGUCUUAGAGAAGAUCCCAAAGAAUAGACAGCGCCCUUGUUAGCACCUGGGCUGACAGGCUUCUUUGGGAGAGAUGACAACGAAUAGCCAUGCCAGGAACUUGCCGUGUGGCCCCUCUCCCUUUCCCCACCUGUGAUGUGCAGGGCCACUGACCCCAGGUGUCCUCCCUGCUCCAGUGAUCAUGGACAGCAUGGGGUCAUGGGCAUACACACAGGUGCUGAUACCAGGGGUCAGUAUUUAACAUACUUGCUUUACAGAUGGGAACAGGGAGGCUCAGGGGGACACUCUCAAAAUUACACAGCUUUUAAGAGGUGGCAGAAUUGGGGUUCAGACCCAGAUCUGGGUUCAAGUCACUCAUGGUGUGAUUGCGGCAGUUCCUUCCCGCAUCUGGGCCUUGCCAUCUCUCUCUCCGAGUGGACAUGGAGAGGACGGGGGCCCAGCAGCUGGAUGGCUGCAGGGAUCAAGUCUUCUCUGGGGCUGGCACGCAGAAGAGCAUGUGGCUGGUGGACGGGCAUGCCUGGCUCCUCACCUGGCAGUCUCCUGCCCUCUAACCGGCUGUCUCUUGUUCCCCUAGUGCCCUCGGCUAGCAUGACCCGCCUGAUGCGGUCCCGCACAGCCUCUGGUUCCUGUACUACUGCCUUGUACUUUUCAUUUUGGCUCACCGUGGAUUUUCUCAUAGGAAGUUUGGUCGGAGUGAAUUGAAUAUUGUAAGUCAGCCACUGGGACCCGAGGAUUUCUGGGACCCCGCAGUUGGGAGGAGGAAGUAGUCCAGCCUUCCAGGUGGCGUGAGAGGCAAUGACUCGUUACCUGCCGCCCAUCACCUUGGAGGCCUUCCCUGGCCUUGAGUAGAAAAGUCGGGGAUCGGGGCAAGAGAGGCUGAGUACGGAUGGGAAACUAUUGUGCACAAGUCUUUCCAGAGGAAUUUCUUAAUGAGAUAUUUGUAUUUAUUUCCAGACCAAUAAAUUUGUAACUUUGC
rnacentral:sRNA from 1 species